CUGUUUUGAGUUGAAGCGCCACUGAAAGUGUUAGCGCAUACUCUUCGGCUUACAUUAAAGAUUGAAUGUGUCAGUAGCAAAGGCUGGUAUCACUGGGAUCACAUGAUCAGACCAAACUUUCAUUUGUGUGGGAUCCCAAGACCCUGUGUAAAGUGUGUCAAUAUGUGUGUGUUUUUGCUAAUUAAAUAUGUCAUAUGUCGCGACUUCUCAUUUGUGAAUAAAAUUCCAACACAGAAUCAGUUGCUAUUUUUUAUUCAGAAUGAAACUACUCUCAUUAUUUACUUUCAUCUUAGAUAUUACAGAUAUGCAAAUUACUACAUGGUCUAUUAUUUUAUCUGCUAAAUAAACGUAAUUAAAA